CCUACGGGUGGCAGCAGUGAGGAAUAUUGGUCAAUGGACGAGAGUCUGAACCAGCCAAGUAGCGUGAAGGAUGACUGCCCUAUGGGUUGUAAACUUCUUUUAUAAAGGAAUAAAACGAGGCACGUGUGCCUUUUUGCAUGUACUUUAUGAAUAAGGAUCGGCUAACUCCGUGCCAGCAGCCGCGGUAAUACGGACGAUCCGAGCGUUAUCCGGAUUUAUUGGGUUUAAAGGGAGCGUAGAUGGGUUGUUAAGUCAGUUGUGAAAGUUUGCGGCUCAACCGUAAAAUUGCAAUUGAUACUGGCAGUCGUGAGUACAGUUGAGGUAGGCGGAAUUCGUGGUGUAGCGGUGAAAUGCUUAGAUAUCACGAAGAACUCCGAUUGCGAAGGCAGCUUACUAAACUGCCACUGACAUUGAUGCUCGAAAGUGUGGGUAUCAAACAGGAUUAGAUACCCGAGUAGUC
rnacentral:rRNA from 1 species